UCAGUAGUAGCUCCCAGUGGAUACCGAGUAGAUCUCAACAUGUUUUGGCUGCGCCUUGCUCUUGGUUUUCUAGCCGUUUGGCUUACACUUGUCUCUGUAAAUUCCGAAGAAUCCGAAGAAUCGAACCCGAAGGUUCUGAAGACAUUAAAGAUGCUGGAUGAACGCAAAAGAAUCUGCCUGAAAGGCCCAUCAUAUGGCUAUUGUAAAGGAAAACGCAAGAUGUGGAACUUCAGUUACCGCAACAAGGAAUGCUUGCCGUUUACCUUUUCUAACUGUGGCGGAAACCGAAAUCGUUUCUACAGUUAUGAGGCAUGCAUGGAGUUUUGCAGCGAAAAACACUGGGAAAGCCCAGAUAUAUACGACAUCUUAGAAGAUGGUUACUGAUUUAGCGCUAAUUAUUUUUCUUUCAUUUCAAAGUUAAUAAUGAUUGUCUGAGAAGGAUGCUAUGGGAAUACCUAUUAUGUAGCAAAUGUAUAUUUACAGUGAAGUUUCCACGUAAUAAAUUGGAGUCGGGGGCCACACAGUUGCCCCGACGAGUAAUCCGCUGUUUGACGUGUUGCAAUGGAAACAGAUCCGAAUUAUAA